CUCACUCAGUCUGUUGCCCAGGCUGGAGUGCAAUGGCACAAUCUCAGCUCACUGCAACCCCUUCCUCCCCAGUUCAAGCAAUUCUUCUGCCUCAGCCUCCCGCGUUGCUGGGAUUACAGGCUCAUGCCACCAUGUCUGGCUGAUUUUUGUAUUUUUGGUAGACAUGGGGUUUCACCACGUUGGCCAGACUGGUUUCAAACUCCUGACCUCAAGUGAUUCGCCCGCCUUGGCCUUCCAGCAUGCUGAGAUUACAGAUCCCCACUGACCUACAAUAAACUGGCUUCCUUAUUCCAAGGCUCAUAUCAUGAUUGUAGGGAAUGCAACAUCUUUCUCCAAAUGCCUAAAGUUGAGUUUCCCCCCUCAUUUAAGACCUCUAAUAGCUAAAUGUGGAUACUGAAGGUGGGAAUGCUUCUUAACCCUGAAUGAGAGUAUAUUUGUGUGCACAUGCAUUCAUUGGAGUACAGAGAGG
rnacentral:lncRNA from 10 species